ACAGAACUGCACAUUUCCUUUCCAAACUGACUGAGUUAGCAGCAACAGCUUAUGCUCUAGCAUGGUAACUGGGGUUAAGAUGUGCUCUCCAAUCAGGACUGAAUUACUGCUUUGCUUAUUCCUACUCUUCCUGGAUGCAUUGGACAGCAAAUACACCCCAAGAGUGAUUCUACCUGCAACAGGUGAAGGUUAUGUUCGCUACGAGUUCCCUGGACCACAGGAACACAUUCUGUUUCUCCACGGGCAAGAGAAAGGAACUCUUUAUGUUGGCGGCCAAAACAAGCUUUUCAACAUUAACUUCAACUCACUGAAUCAAUCCACAGUGAUUCCUUUCCCAUUGGAAGUUGCUACAGGCUAUAAGGGGAGGUGUGAUGUUACAGUCCUGCACAGAUAUGACGACUCUCAUCUGUUUGUCUGUGGAACAGACGGUGAGACCCCUCAGUGCUACAUGAUGACAGACACAUGGAAUUCAUCUGAAAAGGUUAGCCCAGCUGGAAUUUCGCCAUUUUCUGCAACUGAAAAAGCACCUUCCCUGUUUGUAGAGGGAGAACUUUACAGCACCAGUAGGCUGUACAAAGAAGGAAAUGGCAAAGAUCUACGCAGAAGUUGGGGGGAAAAGAAAAAGGUUUGGAUGCAUGACAAAUCAAGGAAAGAUCCCAAAUAUAUUGCCAUAACAUCAGUGAGCAGGAAGGACGAUCCGUUGAAUGAUAAAAUCUACACCUUCUUCCAGGAGAAGAAUCCAGAUACCAGUCCUGAUGCUGAUCCAUGGAUUUCCCGGGUCGCUCAAGUCUGCAAGGUGGAUCAGGGGGGCAGCAGGAGUAUACUGCAUAGCAUGUGGACGUCGUUCCUGAAAGCACGGCUGGCAUGCGGCGUUCCCUCUGAGAACUUCUUCUAUAAUCGGCUCCAGGAGGUGUAUGUGCUGCAUGCGGAGAACUGGACGGACAGCAGGGUCUAUGGAGUCUUCUCAAGUGCCUGGAACAUGACAGCCAUCUGUAUCUACUCCAUUAAGGAGAUUGACAGUGUUUUCACCCACUCCCAGUUUCAAGGUUAUUCAGGGGUAAUUCCAAACCCCAGGCCAGGAACAUGUGUUAAUAACAGUCAGACGUUGAAAGAUAAUGUUUUAAAGAUGGCAAAAGACCACCCAGAGAUGUCAGAUUGGAUUCAGCCCAUUGUCAAAGCAGCUCCCUUUAUGAUUAGUGACCGGCACUACAGGAAGAUCCAAGUGGACAGAGUCACAGUCCCCUGUCAGAAAUCACACAAUGUUCUACUGCUGGCUACAGAUAAUGGUUUGAUCCACAAGGUGCUGGAGGUGAACCACAGUCCCUUCAUUAUUGCAGAGAUUCAUCCCUUUAAGAACAAAUCUCACAUCCAGUCGAUGAUUCUUGACUCCACAACGAAAAAGCUGUAUGUGGGUUCUAACUACGAGGUGGUUGAGAUUGACCUGCAGAGUUGUGAGCAGUACGGCGAUGGAUGCGAGCAGUGCAUUUUGUCUCGAGACCCCUACUGCGGCUGGAGCAACAACAAGUGUGCUAAAGCAGAAUGUGCCGCUGUUCAGCAGGUGGAGGAUGGUGAUCUUAGCCAUUGUACACAGAUUCCCAAAUAUAAACAUUAUCUAUCACAGAGGGGAAACCCUCAAGACCGGCAGCUGAAAAGCAUCGCACCCUUGUCUACCCCCUACUUCCUAUCCUGCCCCAUGACUUCCCAUCAUGCCUCACACUCCUGGCACCAUAACAACAGGACCAUUGACUGCCAGUUCAGCAAAUCGGACUGCCUACACCUGAUUGAGAGAAUGACACCAGACCUCUACGGAAAGUAUCAGUGCUUUGCUGAGGAAAAGGGAUACCAGCGACUGGUGACAGAAUACACACUGGUACCUAGGUCAGGAACCACAGCGCUUAGCUCCAAGGUCCAGUUCCUGGGGACCAUUAUCCUGCUCAUGGGACUCAUUCUCUGAGGAGGGAAGGACUGGCCAUGCUUCUGUUGCUGUACCUCUAAAUCCCAUUGUAUUGAGGGGAAACAAUGAAGAAUGCAGCUGAAUUAAAACAUGCAGAGUCUUCAGAAAUCCAGGUCUGUUAUCAUCCAGACUGAAGCAGGAGGGGCAGACUGAGGACUCUGCUAAUUGGAGGGCUUUCCCACUGCCAAACCGACGAGAGUUACCACUAAAGGCUAUAAGCUACAGAGCUGUCUGAGAGGAAGACAAAUACUCCCUCUGUCAGUGGAAGAACUGAGACUGUUUCUAAUUCAAUACCCUUGCAAAAAGGCUCCCUGCCUGUCUGCCUGCCUAUGACUGUGGUCAGUUCAUGGGCAACAUCUGAAAAUAGGGAACAAAAUCAAGAUGAUAAGGAACACAGGGAGUUUUAUUUCUUCAAAUAAGGAACAGAUUUGGAAAAUAAAGAACAAGCACCAACCCUGCCCCUGCUGUAGUUCAAAGGAGUUCCACGGGAUCUUCAGUGUCCACAGAGGAGACGCCUCCUCAGAAUCUGGGUGCCUCCUGUCAUCGUGAGGCACUGAGUGAGCUCCAGACCAGAGAAGAGUGCUCCCGCCUACCCACCCCCUGAGGUUCCAUAGAUUACUAUCAGCUGAUGAAGAGUGAUCCUGACUCAGCCAACCCACCCCUUGAGGUUCCAUAGAUUACUAUCAGCUGAUUAAGAGUGCUCCCGACUCAGCCAACCCACCCCCUGAGGUUCCAUAGAUUACUGUCAGCUAAAUACUGCUCAGGCCCAGCCUGGCCUGAAAUUACAGCAAACCCCUUAACAAUUCUCUUGAAACGAUUAUUUUGUAUUAUUUUUGUUUUGUCAAUGUAUUCAUGGUACUCCAAUGCUUUCUAACUGUGGCCCACAGGGCUCCAAUACAUGGUCCAACUGGUGUGUAUCUAUAUUGUAGCAGGGCAAGGGCCCUGGAAGUGUAAAAAUGUGUUUUGUGGCAGGGACAGGGUGAAAAGCCCUUCUGCCAAGCUAAUUGUUUUUAUUUAAUUGCAUUGUUAAUUGUUUUGGCAGUUGGCCUAUACCAUCUGCCAAUACCUGUUUCAAUGGGGCAUAUAAACCCCAGAGUUAGUUUAUUUGGGGCUGCUGCUGAAGGAAGCCAGGUUAUUAGAGAGGAUAUAGUCCUAAUCCAGGGCGAGUAGUGCCCAAGAAGUUUUCUGUGAGUACAAUUGUGUACCUUGCAACGCUAUACCACAAGGUUUAUUUGUGUUAUUGUUUUGACAGCUAAAUAGCUUAGCCGUCCUGUGCGUAGUAAGGCUCCUAUAAAAAGUGUUUAGUUAGCGCUCCAAAGUGGAGCUAGGUUUGUGUUUUAUUUAUUUUGUAUUAUUAAAAGUGCAUGUAAAAGCACUGAAAAAAUCAAGUUUAAGUCUCUGGGUCACAUUUAUAGGGGUACGAAACCAAAAUAUGGCCAUUCCUACCACUACACACACACAGUGCCUACAGAACGUGUACACCCCCUUUCAAAAU